rnacentral:sRNA from 1 species
UUUCAAAGUGAGCGCGAAAGCUCCAACGA